CCCAGGCCUUGCACCUGGAUCAAUGGGCUGCCCUAAUGAAGGAUAUCAAAAAUGAAGGGGCAGCUAAAGAAAAAUAAAAGACACCUCAGAAAGUAGCCUGCCUCUUUGACAAGGGACAUGCCUUCAGAGGAACAUAACAGAAACCUCUGAGAAUUGUCAACAAUAAAAAGACUGAGCAACAAGGGAAACUGGUAGGAAGCCAAAGGUUUUAAGAGGUGAGAGUGGAGAAAUGCUGUGCUUUUAUUGAUCCUCUCCAAAGGAACACCUUUAAAAAAGGCAAAAAUCAAGUUACCAGGAAAAUAUUUUUUAAAAACCACGAACAGUCUAAGAGCACUGAACAUUUUGAAUCAUUUGCCUUUUCUCAACACUGGAUUUUAAGCAAGGAACAAGACUAUUCCAGUUCUAAAUGCUUUAAUGAACAAGGGGUAUUGGGUUUUAGCAUCAACAUGAUCUAUCCUCACUCUGAAGCUUUAACUUGAGUAGCUGCUGUGCUUUGUAAAGCUUCAAUCCAAUUCAUUUGAUAACUACAAUUACCAAAUCUGGGCAUUGCUGACUACACAGUUCAAAAAAACAGCAUGGAGGGAAGACCUGCUGAGAACCUUAGAAUCUAUCGAUAAGCUCUUGAAAUGGUUUAAAGUAAUAAACCACUUCAAUUGAAAGGGCAAUAAAAUGUUUUUCG
rnacentral:lncRNA from 1 species